ensembl:snoRNA
UCAGACUGAAAAUGAUCCCAGAUGUGACCGUGAUCUGCGGUCAGACAACUGAUCCUAGAGUAUUUUUGGUGCGUUUAAGCUUAUCGCCUGCUCGCUCAUUUGCACAGUGAUAAAACCCACGUGCCAACAGAA